UACGUAGGCAGCAAGCGUUGUUCGGAGUUACUGGGCGUAAAGGGUGCGUAGGCGGUCCUAUAAGUAUGGUGUGAAAUCUCCCGGCUUAACUGGGAGGGUGCGCUAUAGACUGUGGGACUAGAGUGUGGGAGAGGAAAGUGGAAUUCCUGGUGUAGCGGUGAAAUUCGUAGAUAUUCGCAAGAACACCAGUGGCGAAGGCGGCUCACUGGUCCGGUACUGACGCUGAGGUGCGAAGCGUGGGGAGCAAACAGG
rnacentral:rRNA from 1 species